rnacentral:rRNA from 12 species
ACGAACGCUGGCGGCAGGCCUAACACAUGCAAGUCGAGCGCACCUUCGGGUGAGCGGCGGACGGGUUAGUAACGCGUGGGAACGUACCCUUUUCUACGGAAUAGCCUUUGGAAACGAAGAGUAAUACCGUAUACGCCCUUUGGGGGAAAGAUUUAUCGGAGAAGGAUCGGCCCGCGUUAGAUUAGAUAGUUGGUGGGGUAACGGCCUACCAAGUCUACGAUCUAUAGCUGGUUUUAGAGGAUGAUCAGCAACACUGGGACUGAGACACGGCCCAGACUCCUACGGGAGGCAGCAGUGGGGAAUCUUAGACAAUGGGCGCAAGCCUGAUCUAGCCAUGCCGCGUGAGUGAUGAAGGCCUUAGGGUCGUAAAGCUCUUUCGCCUGUGAUGAUAAUGACAGUAGCAGGUAAAGAAACCCCGGCUAACUCCGUGCCAGCAGCCGCGGUAAUACGGAGGGGGUUAGCGUUGUUCGGAAUUACUGGGCGUAAAGCGCACGUAGGCGGAUUGGAAAGUUGGGGGUGAAAUCCCGGGGCUCAACCCCGGAACUGCCUCCAAAACUAUCAGUCUAGAGUUCGAGAGAGGUGAGUGGAAUUCCAAGUGUAGAGGUGAAAUUCGUAGAUAUUUGGAGGAACACCAGUGGCGAAGGCGGCUCACUGGCUCGAUACUGACGCUGA